UCAGCUAGUUGGUGAGGUAACGGCCCACCAAGGCUAAGACGGGUAGCCGGCCUGAAAGGGUGAUCGGCCACACUGGAACUGAGACACGGUCCAGACUCCUACGGGAGGCAGCAGUGGGGAAUUUUGGACAAUGGGGGCAACCCUGAUCCAGCAACGCCGCGUGAAGGAUGAAGGUCUUCGGAUUGUAAACUUCUUUUGCAGGGGACGAAUCACGUCGUGAAUAACGGCGAAUGACGGUACUCUGCGAAUAAGCCACGGCUAACUACGUGCCAGCAGCCGCGGUAAUACGUAGGUGGCAAGCGUUACUCGGAAUUACUAGGCGUAAGCGCAGGUAGGUGGUUGGGUAAGUCUGUAAUGAAAUCUCCCGGCUUAACUGGGAGAGGUUUGGAGAUACUGCCCGACUCGAGUGUGGGAGAGGUAACUGGAAUUCCUGGUGUAGCGGUGAAAUGCGUAGAUAUCAGGAGGAACACCUAUGGCGAAAGCAGGUUACUGGCCCAAUACUGACGCUGAGCUGCGAAAGCUAGGGGAGCAAACAGGAUUAGAUACCCUGGUAGUCCUAGCCAUAAACGAUGUAGACCAGAUGUGGGGGGUAUCGACCCCCUCUGCGUCGACCCUAACGGAUUAAGUCUACCGCCUGGGGAGUACGGCCGCAAGGUUGAAACUCAAAGGAAUUGACGGGGACCCGCACAAGCGGUGGAGUAUGUGGUUUAAUUCGACGCAACACGAAAAACCUUACCUGGGCUCGAACGACUGGAAGUAAGAUUGAUGAAAGUCGAGAUGACCUGUAAAGUCAGGAACCAGCCGAGGUGCUGCAUGGUUGUCGUCAGCUCGUGUCGUGAGAUGUUGGGUUAAGUCCCGCAACGAGCGCAACCCUCAUCUCCUGUUGCCACCCGCAAGGGGGCACUCUGGAGAAACUGCCCACGAUGAGUGGGAGGAAGGUGGGGGACGACGUCAAAUCACCAUGGCCCUUAUGUC
rnacentral:rRNA from 1 species